UUUGGCAAGGCUUUCCUAAGAGUCUUUGACAUUUCCAGGAGUAUAGUUUUAUGACCAGGUGGUAGUUUGACCCUUCCUCUGUACCCUGAACCUAAAGAAACACAUAUUUGGCAAGGCUUUCCUAGGAGUCUUUGACAUUUCCAGGAGUAUAGUUUUAUGACCAGGUGGUAGUUUGACCCUUCCUCUGUACCCUGAACCUAAAGAAACACAUAUUUGGCAAGGCUUUCCUAGGAGUCUUUGACAUUUCCAGGAGUAUAGUUUUAUGACCAGGUGGUAGUUUGACCCUUCCUCUGUACCCUGAACCUAAAGAAACACAUAUUUGGCAAGGCUUUCCUAGGAGUCUUUGACAUUUCCAGGAGUAUAGUUUUAUGACCAGGUGGUAGUUUGACCCUUCCUCUGUACCAUGAACAUGAAGAAACACUCAUUAGAACCCGAUUGCCCCCCUCUUUGACCUUCAGAAAUACAGAACAUAGUUGACAUGAGAAGCAAAAGUGUCUUAUAAUACCAAUCCCAGGAUAUAGUUAAUAUUGUGUCAUCAAAACCCAGAUUAAAUUCAAACCUCUCCUGCGUCCAUCCCACUCUGAUUGGGCUCAUGUUAACGCCGCCCUGCACUGUGACGCCUUGUUUAAGAGGCCCCCGAGCCAAGAAGGACGGAACAGAGAGGGAGAAAGCUGUUGCUGAGAGGGAGAAAAUAUAAGAAAGAUUUUAAUGGAAGCGGCCAAGAUAGAUAAUGGAGAGAGAGAGAGAGAGAGAGAGAGAGAGAGAGAGAGAGAGAGAGAGAGAAUUACCUCCACUAAAAAUGAUCCACAAAGUCUAAAUGGAUGUAUAUAAUCCCCCCUUUGCGCCCAUGGACCCCCCUAACGAAACAGACCAGCUAUAGUGUAAGCUAUCUAAUGGGGGCCUUCUCCCCCUCAACAACUUAAGAAAACUACAAAAAAACAUCACACUUUCCCUCCUUAUUAUGAAAAUUCCUUGAUUGCUCGUUAACCAUUUUAGAAAAAAAUAA